CCUACGGGGGGCAGCAGUGGGGGAUAUUGCACAAUGGGGGAAACCCUGAUGCAGCGACGCCGCGUGGGUGAAGAAGUAUUUCGGUAUGUAAAGCCCUAUCAGCAGGGAAGAAAGAAGACGGUACCUGACUAAGAAGCCCCGGCUAACUACGUGCCAGCAGCCGCGGUAAUACGUAGGGGGCGAGCGUUAUCCGGAUUCACUGGGUGGAAAGGGAGCGUAGACGGCCGUGCAAGCCAGGAGUGAAAGCCCGGGGCCCAACCCCGGGACUGCUGUUGGAACUGUGCGGCUAGAGUGCGGGAGGGGCGGGCGGAAUGCCUGGUGUAGCGGUGAAAUGCGUAGAUAUUAGGAGGAACACCAGUGGCGAAGGCGGUCUGCUGGACAGCAACUGACGGUGAGGCGCGAAAGCGUGGGGAGCAAACAGGAUUAGAUACCCGAGUAGUC
rnacentral:rRNA from 1 species